ACUUAUAACCGUUUCCGCCGGGUCCGAUGCACACCGUUACAAUGCAGGCGUGUUUUGGCGGAUGCGGUGUUAUUGAGCAAUCAGCAAGUCACCGCAGUCCGGCGAACAUACCGUUUUGGCGAUGUUAUUGCUAACGGGCGAUAAGAAGUGUGAUAAUGAGUUUCGAUUCGCCGUUUAGUUCGGCGCUCACGGGUCUUAUCAUCCGCUUGUGUACAGUGAUAAUUGCUUAUCCUAACUGUGCAAUCACGGUCUUGAUCACCGCGGUUGCAAUGGUAAAACGACCGGUUCAAACGGCUGUCGCGGUAUAAAAGUAUACGAUGAGACUCACGGGCUUCGCAUUUAAUGGCUGCCGUCUGAAUUUCAGCAACAUUAUAGACAGUACAUCGCAGUUAGCUAUUAUCCGUAUAGCUGUGGCUGCAAUAAUGUCGUUUGAUAACUGUACGCACUUUUCGACAACCGCGUAGCCGUAGAACCAGCAAACAAUUAAAAAAUACGUUUACUGGCGGCAGUCUUCGGUUACUGCAGGUUGUCCGUUGGUAAAACAAUGUACCUAACUAUACGGUUAACUAGUAUUUAAAAGUGUAUUGACUACAGUU